GCCUGGGUGGCUCAGUCGGUUAAGCGUCCGACUUCAGCUCAGGUCAUGAUCUCACGGUUUGUGGGUUUGAGCCCCACGUCGGGCU
rnacentral:tRNA from 1 species